CGAAAAGUACUAUCAAUAAUAAAAUGGUGAAACAAAAGAAUAGCGAAGAAGAAGCAAAUGCGCUUCACGCUAAUUCCAAGUACCAACACAAAACAAAUUCAAUGUUUGGUGAAGCAACUUGCUUAGUGGCGGACGGGUGAGUAACGCGUGAACAAUCUGCCCCGUACAAAGGGAUAGCCUCGGGAAACCGGGAUUAAAACCAUAUAACACUUAACUGCCGCAUGGUAGUGAAGUCAAAUCGAGUAAGAGGUAUGGGAUGAGUUCGCGUCUGAUUAGCUAGUUGGUGAGGUAAGGGCUCACCAAGGCGACGAUCAGUAGCCGGCCUGAGAGGGUGAACGGCCACACUGGAACUGAGACACGGUCCAGACUCCUACGGGAGGCAGCAGUGGGGAAUAUUGCACAAUGGAGGGAACUCUGAUGCAGCGACGCCGCGUGAGUGAAGAAGGUCUUCGGAUCGUAAAACUCUGUCCUUGGUGAAGAAAAGGACGGUAGCCAAGGAGGAAGCCCCGGCUAACUACGUG
rnacentral:rRNA from 1 species